rnacentral:rRNA from 1 species
UAACAACUCACCUGCCGAAUGAAUUAGCCCUGAAAAUGGAUGGCGCUCAAGCUUGUAGCCGACACUAUACCGUUUAUACUAGAUACGUAUAAAUGAGUAGGAAGAACGUGGAGGUUGUAUAGAAGCAUAUCCGCAAGGAUGUGUGGAACGGCCUCUAGUGCAGAUCUUGGUGGUAGUAGCAAAUAUUCAAAUGAGACCCUUGAAGGGCCAAGCGGGGAAGGGUUCCACGCGAACAUUGAUUGAGCGUGGGUGAGCCGUUCCUAAGCCGUAUGGUAAUUGCUAAUUACCGGCGAAAGGGAAGAAGGUUGAUAUUCCUUCGCAUCGGUGUGUAGUUGCUGUGAAGCACCUCGGGCCAGAGAAGUUGUUGUAGACUCGCAGGGCAGAGAUUUCUUUUCUGUUUAACGCCACUUUACUCUGUGGAAUCCGCUUGUCGGGAGAAACAGGUAACCAAAGGCAGGAGCACCAGAACUUUUCUGGUGUCCAGCUUGAGUCCAACAUCCCUUGAAAAUCUGGUGUCUGGUCUAUUAUUUCGGAUUUAUUCGUUAAAUGAUAGAUGGAAAAAUACUACCCCGUAACGUACCCAUAUCCGCAUCAGGUCCCCAAGGUGAACAGCCUCUGUUCAAUAUGAAAAAU